rfam:Halobacillus sp. BBL2006 cont191, whole genome shotgun sequence.
UUCUUAUCAAGAGAGGCAGAGGGACUGGCCCUGUGAAGCCUCAGCAACCACUGGUAUAUCCAGUAAGGUGCUACGUCCAGCAAGUUGUAACCCAACUUGGAAGAUGAGAA